rnacentral:lncRNA from 10 species
UUUAAGUCAACUAAUUGUAACUAUUUAAGAAAGAAAAAAUUGGAAAGAGACAAUUUCUGUACUCUCAAUAAGAGCUAACUGCCAUCAAGAGCCAUCAGUAUGUCUUCAAGCUGCAUGCCCAGAAAGCUGGAUUGGUUUUCAAAGAAAGUGUUUCUAUUUUUCUGAUGACACCAAGAACUGGACAUCAAGUCAGAGGUUUUGUGACUCACAAGAUGCUGAUCUUGCUCAGGUUGAAAGCUUCCAGGAACUGAAUUUCCUGUUGAGAUAUAAAGGCCCAUCUGAUCACUGGAUUGGGCUGAGCAGAGAACAAGGCCAACCAUGGAAAUGGAUAAAUGGUACUGAAUGGACAAGACAGUAAGUUCUAAAAAUCUGGCAGUAAUAUUUGUAUUUGAAUUUACUUUGCAUUAAAUCUGAAGUGUUCUCUAGUUACAUGCUUUAAAAAAUUCUCAUUUUAAGGUUAGUCAUGAAAGAAGAUGGUGCCAACUUGUAUGUUGCAAAGGUUUCACAAGUUCCUCGAAUGAAUCCAAGACCUGUCAUGGUGAGGUAGACUGACUGUGAACUUGGCUCCAGGCUUAUCUAUGUCAUUUUCAAACACUUUCAUUUUAAGCAAACCAUACAAUAUCUUUAAGUCUGUUCCUUACCUCCACAACAAAAUUAAAUUGCACUUGUCCUCCUGAUUUCACAGGGUUGAUGUGAGGAACAGAGGUUUUGAUGUAUCAGGGAAAGAUUAUGAGUGACAGCAAUUAUACCUAUUAUUUAAAAUAAGACAAUAGUUUUAAAAUUUUAAAAUGGGUAAAGUUUGGCACUAGAAAAUUUAAUCUCAAUUGUAUAUUUAUAGGAUCUUCAGAUUACUAAAAAGAUUUGAGAUAAUGCUGGAAAAAUUGGAUUCACACAAUUUCACUCAAUGUUUGUCUGAGAGAUGAGACAGUUUUGAAAAGCUACUUUAUUGUAAUACAUUCAUCAAUAUUGGAAAUAUAACUUUAUUUAAUAAAAAGAGCCCCAGACUGGACAUUGGCAGGUUUGAAAUGAGUUUUUUCUCAUUAGCUUUUGACCUUGGAUGGGAUGGUAAGUUUUAGAAAUCAGAGAACAUGUACAUUUAUACAUUGUUGUAUCUACACUGCCUUGCACAUUGUGACUGCUUCAUAAAUAUCUAGAAUUAACUUUUAUUUCUUAUUUUACAAUACGGAAGUAGUAAAUUUUCUCUACCUAAUUCUUAAAAUGGUUUUUUGUUUGUUUGUAUUUUUGAGAGACAGGGUCUUACUCUGUUACCCAGGCUGGAGUGCAGUAGUACCAUCGUGGCUCACUGCAGCCUUGACUUCCCUGGCUCAAGUGAGCCUCCCAUCUCAGCCUCCUGAGUAGCUGGGACUACAGGU